rnacentral:lncRNA from 12 species
UGGGAGUCCAAGGCCCAGGGGUGCUCUCAUGAGCCCAGGGGAGGUUUUGGCAAUGAUUCUGGAGCUCUUCUCAGAAUGGGAGUUGUUUCUGAUAAGCACCCAGAUGCUUCAACAGUGUUGCCAGCAUUCCAGUACCUCAAGCACCACCAGCACCACCAGCAUCCCUCUGCUGCUGGAAGGACAGUGACCCCUCAGAAAAGAGAAAUGAGGAAAGGCCUGUCAGCUUUGAGGAACAACAGUUGACCAGGGCACGGAGAGAGACAGAGGGACAGGAACAACAACUCCUAGUGAUCUGGANAGGUUUCAUCUGAGUCAUCUUCUACACUCCCUUGGGAGUCAGACAGCAGCUUACAGUGAAUUCCAAGAA